AUUGAACGCUGGCGGCAUGCCUUACAUAUGCAAGUCGAACGGCAGCACGGGUGCUUGCACCUGGUGGCGAGUGGCGAACGGGUGAGUAAUACAUCGGAACGUACCUUAUCGUGGGGGAUAACGCAGCGAAAGCUGUGCUAAUACCGCAUACGCCCUGAGGGGGAAAGCGGGGGAUCGAAAGACCUCGCGCGAUUAGAGCGGCCGAUGCCUGAUUAGCUUGUUGGUGGGGUAAAAGCCCACCAAGGCGACGAUCAGUAGCUGGUCUGAGAGGACGAUCAGCCACACUGGGACUGAGACACGGCCCAGACUCCUACGGGAGGCAGCAGUGGGGAAUUUUGGACAAUGGGGGCAACCCUGAUCCAGCAAUGCCGCGCGAGUGAAGAAGGCCUUCGGGUUGUAAAGCUCUUUUGUCAGGGAAGAAACACCGGCUCUAACACAGUCCGGGAAUGACGGUACCUGAAGAAAAAGCACCGGCUAACUACGUGCCAGCCGCCGCAGUAA
rnacentral:rRNA from 1 species